UUCUCAAACUCCUGAGCUCAAAGCAGUCCACCCACCUUGGCCUCCCAGAGUUCUGGGAUUACAGGUGUGAGCCAUCUUGCUCAUUCUAGUUUAAACUUUUGAGUGGUUUGUGUCUCCUGAUUGGACUCCUACAAAUACAGAAUUGAUGCUAGGAAGGGUACCAGGAGAUAGACGCACACAGAUGGGAUUUGGGAAUAGGUUUGGUUAUCCAAGGAGCAGUGCUGAGCUCCUUGCAAUGGGAUAUGGGAUGCUGGUGAUUUCCAGGAUGUGAGCUCACAAUGACUCAAGCUGCCACAUACUGUUGAUUGUGAAAUGCCAGUUGAAGCAUAUGUCCUGCGAGCUUAGGGGUGCUACAAGUUGACCACUGCAGCAGUAAAGAUGACUCUGAAGAAUGGCGUGGGUUGGUUCCUUUCAAAUGCACUUGAGCAGCGGUCUCCAACCACAGGGCCACAGAGCUGGAGCUGGAUCUACCAUGAAAGACUUGUGAAUCCAGGAAGAGAGACUGACUGGGCAACAUGUUAUUCAGGUA
rnacentral:lncRNA from 1 species